CUACGGGGCGCUGCAGUGAGGAAUAUUGCGCAAUGGGGGAAACCCUGACGCAGCGACGCCGCGUGGAUGAUGAAGGCCUUCGGGUUGUAAAAUCCUGUCAGAUGGGAAGAAUUGUUCCAUGUCUAAUAUAUGUGGGACUUGACGGUACCGUCAAAGGAAGCACCGGCUAACUCCGUGCCAGCAGCCGCGGUAAUACGGAGGGUGCAAGCGUUGUUCGGAAUUACUGGGCGUAAAGCGCGCGUAGGCGGUUUGUUAAGUCAGAUGUGAAAGCCCAUGGCUCAACCAUGGACGUGCAUUUGAUACUGGCAGACUUGAGUACUGGAGGGGGUGGUGGAAUUCCCGGUGUAGAGGUGAAAUUCGUAGAUAUCGGGAGGAAUACCGGUGGCGAAGGCGACCACCUGGCCAGAUACUGACGCUGAGGUGCGAAAGCGUGGGGAGCAAACAGGAUUAGAUACCCCGGUAGUC
rnacentral:rRNA from 1 species